rnacentral:lncRNA from 1 species
AAAGAUGUCUAAUUCAACAUAUUUUACUACAAUGUAUACUUUACUUGAUGUGAAAGAUCGUUACAAAAUCUAUAUUUUGUAAUUUUGUAGUAGUGACAUAGUCACUAUUAUUUGGAUGAGAAUGUGCUAUUAAUCUUACAAACCAAAAUAAUUAUCUUAUAUAUUUUUCUUUUUUUAUUGAAUUUCUUUCUUUAUUUUUUAUAAUUAUAUUUUUG